AACGAACGCUGGCGGCAUGCCUAACACAUGCAAGUCGAACGAGACCUUCGGGUCUAGUGGCGCACGGGUGCGUAACGCGUGGGAACCUGCCCUUAGGUUCGGAAUAACUCCCCGAAAGGGGUGCUAAUACCGGAUAAUGUCUUCGGACCAAAGAUUUAUCGCCUUUGGAUGGGCCCGCGUUGGAUUAGCUGGUUGGUAGGGUAAAAGCCUACCAAGGCGACGUUCCAUAGCUGGUAUGAGAGGAGGAUCAGCCACACUGGGACUGAGACACGGCCCAGACUCCUACGGGAGGCAGCAGAGGGGAAUAUUGGACACUGGGCGCAAGCCUGAUCCAGCAAUGCCGCGUGAGUGAUGAAGGCCUUAGGGUUGUAAAGCUCUUUUACCCGAGAUGAUAAUGACAGUACCGGGAGAAUAAGCUCCGGCUAACUACGUG
rnacentral:rRNA from 1 species